rnacentral:rRNA from 1 species
GGUGAACGCUGGCGGCAGGCCUAAUACAUGCAAGUCGAACGGCAAGACAGUAAGCGCUUUCUCUUAUGGGUUGCGGCUGGCGGGCGUGUGACGUAUGCAUCGGACUCUACUUAUUCGGGGAGGACAACGUAAGGACACUUACCCUACUACAGCAUACGACGUACGGAUGAGAUCAGGGGUAAAUCGCACCUUGCCCGAUAUGAUGAGCCGGUGUCGGAUUAGAUAGUUGGGGGGGUAAAGGCCCACCAAGGCGACGAUUCGUAGCUGGUCUGAGAGGAUGAUCAGCCACACUGGAACUGAGACACGGUCCAGACUCCUACGGGAGGCAGCAGUAGGGAAUAUUGGACAUUGGGCGCAAGCCUGAUCCAGCCAUACCGCGUGGGUGAAGAAGGCCUUCGGGUUGUAAAGCCCUUUUGUUGGGAAAGAAAAGCUGCAGGAUAAGACCGCGCUGUUUUGACGGUACCAAAAGAAUAAGCAACGGCUAACUACGUG